GAUGAACGCUGGCGGCGUGCCUAAUACAUGCAAGUCGAGCGAACAGACGAGGAGCUUGCUCCUCUGACGUUAGCGGCGGACGGGUGAGUAACACGUGGAUAACCUACCUAUAAGACUGGGAUAACUUCGGGAAACCGGAGCUAAUACCGGAUAAUAUAUUGAACCGCAUGGUUCAAUAGUGAAAGACGGUUUUGCUGUCACUUAUAGAUGGAUCCGCGCCGCAUUAGCUAGUUGGUAAGGUAACGGCUUAUCAAGGCAACGAUGCGUAGCCGACCUGAGAGGGUGAUCGGCCACACUGGAACUGAGCCGCGGUCCAGACUCCUACGAGAGGCAGCAGUAGGGAAUCUUCCGCAAUGGGCGAAAGCUUGACGGAGCAACGCCGCGUGAGUGAUGAAGGUCUUCGGAUCGUAAAACUCUGUUAUUAGGGAAGAACAAAUGUGUAAGUAACUAUGCACGUCUUGACGGUACCUAAUCAGAAAGCCACGGCUAACUACGUG
rnacentral:rRNA from 1 species